UCCUGGUGGCUCAGUCGGUAGAGAAUCUGCCUACAGUGCAGGAGACCCAGGUUGGAUCCCUGGGCUGGGAA
rnacentral:tRNA from 1 species